AGUGAACGCUGGCGGUAGGCCUAACACAUGCAAGUCGAACGGCAGCACAGUAAGAGCUUGCUCUUACGGGUGGCGAGUGGCGGACGGGUGAGGAAUACAUCGGAAUCUACUUUUUCGUGGGGGAUAACGUAGGGAAACUUACGCUAAUACCUCAUACGACCUACGGGUGAAAGCAGUGGAUCUUCGGACCUUGCGCGAUUGAAUGAGCCGAUGUCGGAUUAGCUAGUUGGCGGGGUAAAGGCCCACCAAGGCGACGAUCCGUAGCUGGUCUGAGAGGAUGAUCAGCCACACUGGAACUGAGACACGGUCCAGACUCCUACGGGAGGCAGCAGUGGGGAAUAUUGGGCAAUGGGCGAAAGCCUGAUCCAGCCAUACCGCGUGAGUGAAGAAGGCCUUCGGGUUGUAAAGCUCUUUUGUUGGGAAAGAAAAGCAGCAGGUGAAUACCCCGCUGUUCUGACGGUACCCAAAGAAUAAGCACCGGCUAACUUCGUG
rnacentral:rRNA from 1 species